UACGUAGGUGGCAAGCGUUGUCCGGAUUUACUGGGCGUAAAGGAUGCGUAGGCGGACAUUUAAGUCAGAUGUGAAAUACCCGAGCUUAACUUGGGUGCUGCAUUUGAAACUGGGUGUCUAGAGUGCAGGAGAGGUAAGUGGAAUUCCUAGUGUAGCGGUGAAAUGCGUAGAGAUUAGGAGGAACACCCGAGGCGAAGGCGGCCCUCUGGCUCGACCCUGACGCUGAGGCGCGAAAGCGUGGGGAGCGAACGGG
rnacentral:rRNA from 1 species